CCUACGGGUGGCUGCAGUGGGGAAUAUUGGACAAUGGGGGGAACCCUGAUCCAGCCAUGCCGCGUGUGUGAAGAAGGCCCUCGGGUUGGAAAGCACUUUCAGUGAGGAAGAACGCCUGGUGGUUAAUACCCAUCAGGAAAGACAUCACUCACAGAAGAAGCACCGGCUAACUCCGUGCCAGCAGCCGCGGUAAUACGGAGGGUGCGAGCGUUAAUCGGAAUUACUGGGCGUAAAGCGCGCGUAGGUGGCUUGAUAAGCCGGUUGUGAAAGCCCCGGGCUCAACCUGGGAACGGCAUCCGGAACUGUCAAGCUAGAGUGAAGGAGAGGAAGGUAGAAUUCCCGGUGUAGCGGUGAAAUGCGUAGAGAUCGGGAGGAAUACCAGUGGCGAAGGCGGCCUUCUGGACUGACACUGACACUGAGGUGCGAAAGCGUGGGUAGCAAACAGGAUUAGAUACCCUUGUAGUC
rnacentral:rRNA from 1 species